AGCAGCCGCGGUAAUUCCAGCUCCAAUAGCGUAUAUUAAAGUUGUUGCAGUUAAAAAGCUCGUAGUUGAAUUUCGGGAUUUAUCCGUCGGUCGGGCUUUUGGGUCUGUACUGGCGUGAUGGAUUCCUACCUUCUGAAUAACCGGCAUGUCAUUAAUUUGGUGCGCUGGGGAAGCAGGACUGUUACCUUGAAAAAAUUAGAGUGCUUAAAGCAGGCUAUUGCCUGAAUACAUUAGCAUGGAAUAAUGAAAUAGGACGGCAUGGUUCUAUUUUGUUGGUUUCUAGGAUCACCGUAAUGAUUAAUAGGGAUAGUUGGGGGCAUUAGUAUUCAAUUGUCAGAGGUGAAAUUCUUGGAUUUAUUGAAGACUAACUUCUGCGAAAGCAUUUGCCAAGGAUGUUUUCAUUAAUCAAGAACGAAAGUUAGGGGAUCGAAGACGAUCAGAUACCGUCGUAGUCUUAACCAUAAACUAUGCCGACUAGGGAUCGGACGAUGUUAAUUUUUUAAUGACUCGUUCGGCGCCUUACG
rnacentral:rRNA from 1 species